ACGAACGCUGGCGGCGUGCUUAACACAUGCCAGUCGAACGGAAAGGCCCUGCUUUUGUGGGGUGCUCGAGUGGCGAACGGGUGAGUAACACGUGAGUAACCUGCCCUUGACUUUGGGAUAACUUCAGGAAACUGGGGCUAAUACCGGAUAGGAGCUCCUGCUGCAUGGUGGGGGUUGGAAAGUUUCGGCGGUUGGGGAUGGACUCGCGGCUUAUCAGCUUGCUGGUGGGGUAGUGGCUUACCAAGGCUUUGACGGGUAGCCGGCCUGAGAGGGUGACCGGCCACAUUGGGACUGAGAUACGGCCCAGACUCCUACGGGAGGCAGCAGUGGGGAAUAUUGCACAAUGGGCGGAAGCCUGAUGCAGCAACGCCGCGUGCGGGAUGACGGCCUUCGGGUUGUAAACCGCUUUCGCCUGUGACGAAGCGUGAGUGACGGUAAUGGGUAAAGAAGCACCGGCUAACUACGUG
rnacentral:rRNA from 1 species